UGUUGUUCUGCUGACGAUUCCUCCACAGGCACAUGGCGAUGAAAGCCAGCAGGAUGAGCACCAUCACCACCAGGACGCAGCCCACAAUCAGAUCAUGACGUUGCUGUACUCGCUCUCCCCGCCGUCGUUGAAGCACUGCAUCUUGAUAUCGUAGGAGGUCUCGGCCUGGAGGUGACCAAUCAUGUGCCAGGGUUUCACACCUGAGAGGGACGGAGAGACGGAAGAGGAAGAGGAAGAAGGAAAAAGGAGGACAAAGCUUCGCCCGAGCCAGAGAAGUCCACCUGGGCAGAGCCGGAGCGCUGGGAGCCUUAUUACAGCUGACACCGGCUUGGCACGGCCCGGGUGGAAUUUUUCACAGGAGCUUGGAGGACACCGAGCGCUGCCCACAAGAGCAGACACCUCUCGGCACGGAGCCGCACGGCCGAGGUCAAAGAGCGACACAAUUCAAUAUUAAAAGCUAAACAAGUGAGUAAGUAGGUUGGAGCAGCGAGGUUUGCCACAGGGGGCAAACUGCAGGAGCCUGCGUCCAGCAUCGGGGAGUGUUAGGUGAGUGCGGCACCGGUUUACUCUGUAAAACAAACAGGCCCGGAGCUGGUAACACUAGACCUGAUCCUGGGACUGCGGCCAGCUGCCGCACAUUCCACACGCCAACCAUUAAAAUACCGGGGAGAAUCAGACCCCGGCGCUCGAUCGGUCCUGCACACUCUCCGGCUCGUAACGCUCUCUCCUCGGCUCUGACUCAUGGCUCCACCACAGAUGGAGCUCCUCCUCCUCCUCCGACACACUGAUGCAGGAGGAGGCGUUUAAGGUCACGGUGGAGAGGAAGGGUAUCGCUCAUCCUCCCCAGAACAGAAAGGUCAGUCCAUUAGAGGAGAGCACACCUGGGAGGACAUGUGACAGUAACUCAUGGAGGAUUACCAGAGGAGACGAGAGCCUCAGACCGGACAGAGCUUAACUCUUUAGAGGACAAGUUGAUGGAUCAGUUUGAAUUAACUCCAACAAGGAGGUUCUGUGUUCACCCCCGUCUGUUUGACCUACACCGAUUUCCAUAUACAUUUUGUGCAUGACGCAAGAAGGAACCCAGAAAAGUUUGGUGUGAAUUUCAGAUUAGAGGGCAGAUGUUAUAUGUCAAUGUGUAAUUCAUGGAUUUGAUGAAAAGCACGAUCUAGGGAACUUAAAGUUGUGACUAGAGGAACAAAUCAUGAUUUAUCUGUGAUUGUUAUUUUAGUUACUCAUAUACCUGUUUGGAUUUAAAUAAAAACUAGAAUUCAGUA